UCAGUUUAAGAAUAGUCUUGGUUAUGUCAUGAUUAGUAGUACUCUUAGUCAGUUACAGAACUUAAAAAAAAUGAAUAAACUCAGUAUCAAUCGAGUCCCAUUCAGUAUUUAGUUCAGUCCACAGUAAACUCAGUCAAUUAGCAAAAUUCAGUAAUAAUCCAUCAGUCAAUGUAAACUUAGUAAACUCAGUACAGUUUAGUUAAAU
rnacentral:lncRNA from 1 species